AUUCCUCGCAUUGAAUCUGUAAUUUUUCAGUAAUCUCUAUCUAGUGCCGUUUCUCAUUAUGUGUCCGAGAUAUUCUAACUUUCUCCUUUUAAUUGUAUACAUCACUUAAAUCCUCAUUCUUCGUAGUACAGUCUCGUUGGGUGUUCCCCAAAAUAUACAGGGUGUUCCAUUGCGUUUCUCGUUUUAGGAUGAGGAUGAGGACAAGACACAGUCACAGCAAUUAUCUUGUAAAGAAAGUUUUAAAAACAUAAAUACAGGGAGUUUCAUUAAAAAUAAAGAUUAUAGAAACAUUGCGGUUAUUUGUAUGUUUAAUACAAUUAUAAGGUAUAAUAUCGCAAGCUUUUGCCAUCGAAAUUAUUAACAUCGAAAUUAUGUACUACUACAUGUUUAAAAAAAUAAAAUAAAUAAUUUAACUUUCUUAAAAUAUAUCACUCACUUAGCUCACAGUAAUUUUCUGGUGCAUACACCUCUGGCCAAUUAAUAUCAUAUCAACCCUGUUAUUCUUUCGAUUACACCUAGACUAGAACUGAUGAUGUUAAUACCAACUAAGUAUUAACGUUAAUAAUGCAACAAUGGAAAUAAGUUUAGCUUGGUGCCACUAUAGUAUGAGGUUUACUGGCUUCUGGUAUAUCUUACGGUCUACACGUGCGGCUUAACAAUAUGUACUAUAAUUUUUGCCAUAAGUGUUUGCACACAAUAAUGGAAGGCCGCAAACGUUUUUAGGCAAAAUGUUUAUUGCUAUGUAGUAAUAAGUAAACAUUUUCAGGAAUAUUAUCAUCCAAUCAAUUCACAAUAUACAAUUCCAAGGAAUAUACAAUAAACUUAUUUUUUUAGUAUUAUAAAAAUAACACCAUAAUCUUCUCGGUUAGAGUGCCUGCACGACUUUUUUAAACUGGAAUCAUUGACUGCCUUUCUCUCUUAAGGGGUCAUAUACGUUUCUCGAGCGUAAAAAGUAGUCUAAAUGUAAUGAUAAAUUGUACGAAAACUAUUGGGCUAAUUGAUUUCAUUUUUUUUUUAAUUUUAAAGGUGGAUAUAAAACAUAUGUUAAAAGUUAAAAAAUAAUUAAAAACAUGGCGGCUGCAUCCAGUGGCGUAGAAUGUGUUUUUUCUUUUCAGGUCAAACGGUGGGCAUGAUAACUGCUUAACCGUUCGUCCGAUUAACUUCAUUUUUGGCAUACAUAUUCUAAAUUAGAUUCAGUAUCGUGUGACGAGAGCUUUUUUGAUUAAAUUUAACCAUUUUCGAAUAGCAAUAAAAAAAUAGACUAUUUUUUUGUGAGAAUUACUACUUUUUUUAAAAUUUCGACCAUUUCCGUAAUCUUUUUUUUUUUUUUAAUUCUUCUCGUCACACGAGAACUAUUACUCUAAAAAAUGAUAACAAAUAAACAAUUUUUGUUUCAGAUAAAUAUUACGAGCUGAAUCAUGCCCACCGUUUGGUCUGAAAAAAAACACGUUCUACUCCACUGGACACAGCCGCCAUGUUUUUAAUUAUUUUUUAACUUUUAACAUUAUGUUUUAUGCUCCUUAAAAGUCCACCUUUAAAAUUAAAAAAAAUUAAAUCAAUUA
rnacentral:lncRNA from 1 species